UACGUAGGGGUGCGAGCGUUUGUCCGGAAUUAUUGGGCGUAAAGAGCUUGUAGGUGGUUUGUCGCGUCUGCUGUGAAAAUCCGAGGCUCAACCUCGGACUUGCAGUGGGUACGGGCAGACUAGAGUGUGGGUAGGGGAGACUGGAAUUCCUGGUGUAGCGGUGAAAUGCGCAGAUAUCAGGAGGAACACCGGUGGCGAAGGCGGGUCUCUGGGCCGAUACUGACGUGGAGGAGCGAAAAGCGUGGGG
rnacentral:rRNA from 1 species